AUGCCUCUUCUCACUUUGUCAAUUGCACUUAUGUCUUAAUUGGUCAUUCAAGUGGGGCAAAGGAAGUGCCCUUUUAAACUCAAGCAAACUGGGUGUUUAUCUUGUAUAAUGUCAGAGAAAACAACG
rnacentral:snoRNA from 1 species